AGGGCGGAUGUAGCCAAGUGGAUUAAGGCAGU
rnacentral:tRNA from 1 species